GAUGAACGCUGGCGGCGUGCCUAAUACAUGCAAGUCGAGCGAACAGAUGAGGAGCUUGCUCCUCUGACGUUAGCGGCGGACGGGUGAGUAACACGUGGAUAACCUACCUAUAAGACUGGGAUAACUUCGGGAAACCGGAGCUAAUACCGGAUAAUAUAUUGAACCGCAUGGUUCAAUAGUGAAAGACGGUUUUGCUGUCACUUAUAGAUGAAUCCGCGCCGCAUUAGCUAGUUGGUAAGGUAACGGCUUACCAAGGCAACGAUGCGUAGCCGACCUGAGAGGGUGAUCGGCCACACUGUAACUGAGACACGGUCCAGGCUCCUACGGGAGGCAGCAGUAGGGAAUCUUCCGCAAUGGGCGAAAGCCUGACGGAGCAACGCCGCGUGAGUGAUGAAGGUCUUCGGAUCGUAAAACUCUGUUAUUAGGGAAGAACAAAUGUGUAAGUAACUAUGCACGUCUUGACGGUACCUAAUCAGAAAGCCACGGCUAACUACGUG
rnacentral:rRNA from 1 species